GGUUCCGUAGUGUAGUGGAUUAUCACGUUCGCUUCACACGCAUGAAAGGUCUCGGUUCGAUCCCGGACGGAACCA